rnacentral:tRNA from 1 species
UCCACGAUAGCUCAAUGGUAGAGCAGACGGCUGUUAACCGUCCGGUUCUAGGUUCGAAUCCUAGUCGUGGAG